rnacentral:rRNA from 1 species
GAUCCUGGCUCAGGAUGAACGCUAGCGGCAGGCUUAACACAUGCAAGUCGAGGGGCAGCACGAGGUAGCAAUACUUUGGUGGCGACCGGCGCACGGGUGCGUAACGCGUAUGCAACCUACCUUUAACAGGGGUAUAACACUGAGAAAUUGGUACUAAUUCCCCAUAACAUUCGAGAAGGCAUCUUCUUGGGUUAAAACUACCGUGGUUAAGAAUGGGCGAUGCGUUGUUAUUAGCUAGUUGGUUGAGGUAACGGCU